UCCGCUUGGUAGUACUGAUGUGCUUAACUGC
rnacentral:piRNA from 1 species